GUUAACGUAGCAUAAUCUGGUUAUGCAAAAGAUCUAAGCCCUUUUAAUAGAGGUUCAAAUCCUCUCGCUAACU
rnacentral:tRNA from 1 species